CCAUGGAUUUGAUCUCUUUUGGAAGAGUUUCAGGCACCAUGUCUUCAUCCAUGUAGAACUUGGCGUUUGCGAAAUGUGAUUCGGCUUCGGUGAAUGGCUUAGUGUCGCCAUAGAUCACCUUCACUCAUUCUCGGUAAAAUUUUAAGCAUUGGUGAAGGGUGGACGGUACUACUCCAUUCGCAUGGAUCCAAGGCCUUCCUAAGAGCAAACCGUAGGAAGUUCUUGCAUCAAUCACGUGAAAUAUUGUGCUUGACUUAAGUU
rnacentral:lncRNA from 1 species